rnacentral:rRNA from 1 species
AGGAUGAACGCUAGCGACAGGCUUAACACAUGCAAGUCGAGGGGCAGCACGGGAGUAGCAAUACAACUGGUGGCGACCGGCGCACGGGUGAGUAACGCGUAUGCAACCUACCUAUCGAGAGGGGAAUAACCCGGCGAAAGUCGGACUAAUACCGCAUAAAACAGGGGCACCGCAUGGUGAUAUUUGUUAAAGAGAUUCGCUGAUAGAUGGGCAUGCGUUCCAUUAGGUAGUUGGUGAGGUAACGGCUCACCAAGCCGACGAUGGAUAGGGGAACUGAGAGGUUGGUCCCCCACACUGGUACUGAGACACGGACCAGACUCCUACGGGAGGCAGCAGUGAGGAAUAUUGGUCAAUGGGCGGGAGCCUGAACCAGCCAAGUCGCGUGAAGGAAGAAGGAUCUAUGGUUCGUAAACUUCUUUUGCAGGGGAAUAAAGUGCAGGACGUGUCCUGUUUUGUAUGUACCCUGAGAAUAAGGAUCGGCUAACUCCGUGCCAGCCGCGGC